UACGUAGGGACCAAGCGUUGUUCGGAUUUACUGGGCGUAAAGGGCGCGUAGGCGGCAAUUCAAGUCAUCUGUGAAAUCUCCGGGCUUAACUCGGAACGGUCAGAUGAUACUGUCUUGCUAGAGUGCAGAAGGGGCAAUCGGAAUUCUUGGUGUAGCGGUGAAAUGCGUAGAUAUCAAGAGGAACACCUGAGGUGAAGACGGGUUGCUGGGCUGACACUGACGCUGAUGCGCGAAAGCCAGGGGAGCAAACGGG
rnacentral:rRNA from 1 species